rnacentral:lncRNA from 1 species
CUAAAUUGUCAUUGUUUCUACCUUAGAUGUUACCAAGAAGAGAAGAAAUGUGAUCUCUGCUAUUUCAUGAUUGGCAUUUGCUAUUAUUUUUGAUAUUAUAUUUAGUCCAAGGGAAUUGCUGAUUUGAGUUAGUCCUGAAUCUAUAAAUCCACUUAACUGGGCACAUACACACCCCAGGCCAGUGAUUUCUUGCCUCAGAUUCUUCCUGACACUUACUAUCCACAUUACUAUUAGUACACUUAACAUACACUGUCUGUAUCAUCAUACACUUAAAUUAAUAAAUGAGGACCACUGUCAACCCCUUCUCAUUGUGAAACUUUGGUAUUUCUUACAGGGUACCUUUCGGACCAGGCAGGGGUAUCAGUGUCAUUUUGAAUGUUAAAUGUUAGUGAAGCUCAAUUUUUUUUCUUUUGGACACUGAAACUAGAGUGGUAUUCCUCAGACUGGUUUUUUUGGCCACCUGCAUCAGAAUUACUUGGGGAUGCUGGUUAAAAUAGUAAUUUCUGGGCUCUCCCUACACCUUCUUCAGGUGACUGAAGUUGACACUUGCUGGCUAGUUUAGAGCUUGGUGACAUUAUGUGGUUUAGAUCAUUUAAAACAUUAGGGAGGGCUGGGGAUGUGGCUCAAGUGGUAGCGCACUCGCCUGGCAUGCGUGUGGCUCGGGUUCGAUCCUCAGCACCACAUACAAAAAAAGAUGUUGUGUCCGCUGAAAACUAAAAAAUAAAUAUUAAAA